rnacentral:misc_RNA from 1 species
UGAGUCAGCUGAAUGCUGUUUCUGGAUCGUCUCUAGUUUUGAACGCAAUGUCAGAUCCUCGGAAGACUUUUGGUGGUCAGUCGGACAUGUACUCUCAGAAGAAGGCUGAUUCACAAGCUGUUUCGGGGACUGGUCUGGUUCGGAGGACAAUACUGCACACUGUUCCUUUGACUCCUUUGCCUCUACCUCAGUUUGCUUUUUGCAUGCUUCUGAGGAGUUUAGCUUGUCUUUGAGAUCAUUUUUGAGCUGAGUGAUUUGGGACUCCAAUUCAGUAACCUUGCUUGCGCCCUUCUCUGACUCCAA